UACCCCAUAGACAGAGCAGCCGUGAG
rnacentral:piRNA from 1 species